GUCCAGACUCCUACGGGAGGCAGCAGUGGGGAAUAUUGCACAAUGGGGGAAACCCUGAUGCAGCGACGCCGCGUGAGCGAUGAAGUAUUUCGGUAUGUAAAGCUCUAUCAGCAGGGAAGAAAAUGACGGUACCUGACUAAGAAGCCCCGGCUAACUACGUGCCAGCAGCCGCGGUAAUACGUAGGGGGCAAGCGUUAUCCGGAUUUACUGGGUGUAAAGGGAGCGUAGACGGCAAUGCAAGCCAGAUGUGAAAGCCCGGGGCUCAACCCCGGGACUGCAUUUGGAACUGUGUAGCUGGAGUGUCGGAGAGGCAGGCGGAAUUCCUAGUGUAGCGGUGAAAUGCGUAGAUAUUAGGAGGAACACCAGUGGCGAAGGCGGCCUGCUGGACGAUGACUGACGUUGAGGCUCGAAAGCGUGGGGAGCAAACAGGAUUAGAUACCCUGGUAUG
rnacentral:rRNA from 1 species